rnacentral:lncRNA from 1 species
AUGGAGGCUCCAUGCUGGUCUUGCAGACUACGACGGCAUGUACCCAUUUGGCAGACUGAACGACACUAUAUUGAAUUUCAUACCUGUGAUUGUAUCCCAGGUCACCAAAAGCCUGAUGUAUANAGUGACAGCAACAGACGAACACACGAUCGAAGGGUCGAAAGCGUCCUUCAACGCUGGGGCUGGCAUUCUCGCUCUGUUCCCUACCCCUCUACCCACAACAGACAUUGCCAUUGGCAUCCACACACUUGUUUGCCAGGCAGAGAUGCAACCUCAAAACGUUCUCACCAGUGUUUCAGGCAGCUACUGCCAACAGUUCAUGGCUGGGACUUAAUGUGAACAUUUUUUGCCUUUUCCAGUCUAAUCCAAUCUAACACCAUUCCAGUAGGACUCCUUUCCAUGGCUGUCUAGACUGCUGCUCUAGAGGCUUUUCAGCCUGCUUAGCUGUUGAACUCCAAUCCAAUUAAAACACAUUGUGUCGCUACUAGAGGAAAGGCCUGGGGCUGGGUGCUGGGAGAAUGUUAAGAAGGACAGAAGUCUGCCUUGCUCUAAUUUUGUCCCUUGGUCCUAUACCUGCCUUCCUGGACAACCCCAGUAAGGCUUUCCCCACGUCCUGUGACAUUCCUUUCACUAUGCGAAGAGGCUGNNNNNNNNNNNNNNNNNNNNNNNNNNNNNNNNNNAGUCUUUCUUUUUACUAGAGGAAAUCUUCUAAGUGUGUCUAGUCAUUUCUCAUAGCAUUUGGUUUUUCAGAUCCCGCACUCUCUGGUUAGCCUCCCAUGGUCAUGCUCCAGUUUGCCUAUAUUCCUCUUAAAUUGUGGUGUCCAGAAUACACAUCGUAUUUCAUUUGUCAUCUAACUAAAUCAGAGCACAAGCCAACAUGGAUGGGUGAAAAGGGGUUCACCAACUGACAAGGCUUACCAAGGCAAGAACCCCUGUGAACGUGUGACUACGACUUAUUUGGGGUAGGUCAUGCAAACUCUUGUAUGGACCAAAUCCUUUAUUUUUCAUGACUUAACCAUUAUUGUUAGAAUUACAAAAGCUCAGAGCUCCGCAAAUCCUUAAANNNNACAAUCACCCAUCUUACGAUGAAAUCACCAGGUUAUCACACUCCCUGCAAAAGAUGGGAGGUCUUGAGCAUCUUCUUCUCUAAUGGGGAA